rnacentral:rRNA from 1 species
CGGACGGGUGAGUAACGCGUGAGAAUCUGCCUUCAGGAUGGGGACAACAGCGGGAAACUGCUGCUAAUACCCAAUGUGCCGCAAGGUGAAAGAAAUUCGCCUGAAGAGGAGCUCGCGUCUGAUUAGCUAGUUGGUGGAGUAAAAGCCUACCAAGGCGACGAUCAGUAGCUGGUCUGAGAGGAUGAGCAGCCACACUGGGACUGAGACACGGCCCAGACUCCUACGGGAGGCAGCAGUGGGGAAUUUUCCGCAAUGGGCGAAAGCCUGACGGAGCAAUACCGCGUGAGGGAGGAAGGUUCAAGUAAUUGUAAACCUCUUUUAUCAGGGAAGAAAAAAAUGACGGUACCUGAUGAAAAAGCAUCGGCUAACUCCGUGCCAGCAGCCGCGGUAAUACGGAGGAUGCAAGCGUUAUCCGGAAUUAUUGGGCGUAAAGCGUCCGCAGGUGGUAGUACAAGUCUGCUGUCAAAGACCAGAGCUUAACUCUGGGCAGGCGGUGGAAACUGUAAUACUAGAGACCGGUAGGGGUAGAGGGAAUUCCCAGUGUAGCGGUGAAAUGCGUAGAGAUUGGGAAGAACACCAGUGGCGAAGGCGCUCUACUGGGCCGGAACUGACACUAAGGGACGAAAGCUAGGGGAGCGAAAGGGAUUAGAUACCCCUGUAGUC